GUAGGUGAACCUGCGGAAGGAUCAUUAGUGAAUUUAGCGCAUCUGUUUACUCAGAGCGUGACCCCCCACUCUUAUAACAUUGUGCACUUAUUGGCGGAGGCAAAAGGAAUGACGAAGUAAUUUCGAUUACGGCGGCACAAUUUUCACUUCUGCGGCUCACUUAUAAACAUUAGUUAAAGUAUGUAACGAAAUAUCGAAAAACUAAAAAAACUUUCAACAACGGAUCUCUUGGCUCUC
rnacentral:misc_RNA from 1 species